rnacentral:tRNA from 1 species
GGAGGUACAGCUCAGUGGUAUAACGUGUGCUUAGCAUUCACGGGGUCCUGGGUUCAAUCCCUAGUAUCUCCA